rnacentral:misc_RNA from 1 species
UCCGUCGUUCACUUCCCUCGGUAUUGCCCUCGCCCAAGUCCUUCUUUGCUACCUAAAGGUCGCUCACAAGACCUCUCGUAGCAAAGAAGCACUGUCGUUAGGGUUUCACCGAUAUGAGCCGGUGUUUCCUCAGGGGAUUGCUCCCCUGGGGGCCAAUCGUCGAUUAGCCAUGCAGCACCUGUGCUGGCCCCUUACGGACACGGGCUUUCACCCGCUUUAACCAGCAUGUCAAGCCCAGGUAAGGUUCUUCGCGUUGCAUCGAAUUAAGCCACAUGCUCCGCCGCUUGUGCGGGCCCCCGUCAAUUCCUUUGAGUUUUAGCCUUGCGGCCGUACUCCCCAGGCGGAGUGCUUAAUGCGUUAGCUGCGGCACAGAGCGGGUUGAAGACCGCCCCACACCUAG